rnacentral:RNase_MRP_RNA from 1 species
CGUGUGCUCUGGGUGAAAGUCCCCGGGCGAUGGGUAGAGAGUACCAGGUCGGUAAAGACCAGACGCCUUUGAUUGUACUUUCCAGUUCGCGGAGAUGAGAUAUUCGGAGUUGAUUCAAGGGCUCUUGUUUGUGGUUCUGCGGAUCCGGCAGCCAAUCCCUCGAAUCUCGAUGAGUAGAUCGGAGCGCCCGUGGAAGUCUUUCAAGGCUGAUUGCCUAAGAGCUUGAGCGAGAAAGUUAUGGAAUGAGAGAUUGGUGAGCAGCUUUGUUUUCACAACUAUUCGAGCGCAUUGAUUAUGGAAAUGAUGAGGAAAAGCUGUCGCCCCAGGCAGAACAAGCUCCGGACAAGCUCCAGGAGUCAGUUGUUGAUUGACGCACGUGUCGACCGUCGUGACGGCCCCAAUACUCUAACAGAAUGGGGCUUAUUCC